rnacentral:rRNA from 1 species
UACGGAGGGAGCUAGCGUUGUCCGGAAUUAUUGGGCGUAAAGGGCGCGUAGGCGGUGCUGUAAGUCUGUAGUGAAAUCUCUGGGCUCAACUCAGAGUCUGCUAUAGAAACUGCAGUGCUGGAGUGUGGGAGAGGUGAGUGGAAUUCCGGGUGGAGCGGUGAAAUGCGUAGAGAUCCGGAGGAACACCGACGGCGCAGGCAGCGUCCUGGCCGCUUGCUGACACUGAGGCACGAAAGCUGGGGGAGCAAACAGG